UGAGGAAUCUUGCACAAUGGGCGCAAGCCUGAUGCAGCGACGCCGCGUGGGUGAAGAAGGUUUUCGGAUCGUAAAACCCUUUUCUGUGUGACGAGAACGGACGGUAGCACAGGAAUAAGUCUCGGCUAACUACGUGCCAGCAGCCGCGGUAAAACGUAGGAGACAAACGUUAUCCGGAGUUACUGGGCGUAAAGGGCGUGCAGGCGGCAGUCUAAGUCUGGCGUGAAAUAUCCCGGCUCAACCGGGAGAGGUCGUCGGAUACUGGGCAGCUCGAGGGCGGUAGAGGCGUGUGGAAUUCCCGGUGUAGCGGUGAAAUGCGUAGAUAUCGGGAGGAACAUCAGUGGCGAAGGCGGCUUUCUGGACCAAUACUGACACUGAGGCGCGAAAGCGUGGGUAGCAAACAGGAUUAGAUACCCCCGUAGUCCCUGAGCGGGCUGGCAAGGCGCAU
rnacentral:rRNA from 1 species